rnacentral:rRNA from 1 species
GAUGAACGCUGGCGGCGUGCCUAAUACAUGCAAGUCGAGCGAACGGACGAGAAGCUUGCUUCUCUGAUGUUAGCGGCGGACGGGUGAGUAACACGUGGAUAACCUACCUAUAAGACUGGGAUAACUUCGGGAAACCGGAGCUAAUACCGGAUAAUAUUAUGAACCGCAUGGUUCAAAAGUGAAAGACGGUCUUGCUGUCACUUAUAGAUGGAUCCGCGCUGCAUUAGCUAGUUGGUAAGGUAACGGCUUACCAAGGCAACGAUGCAUAGCCGACCUGAGAGGGUGAUCGGCCACACUGGAACUGAGACACGGUCCAGACUCCUACGGGAGGCAGCAGUAGGGAAUCUUCCGCAAUGGGCGAAAGCCUGACGGAGCAACGCCGCGUGAGUGAUGAAGGUCUUCGGAUCGUAAAACUCUGUUAUUAGGGAAGAACAUAUGUGUAAGUAACUGUGCACAUUUUGACGGUACCUAAUCAGAAAGCCACGGCUAACUACGUG